UCCGUAGGUGAACCUGCGGAAGGAUCAUUAAUUGAGUUGUUGCCCUUCGGGGUACGCGACCACCCUUGUAUAAAUAUCGUGUUGCUUUGGCGAUCCCGCUCUAACCAGCGGCCGCCAGAGGACCCCAAACCCUGAAUGUUAGUGUCGUCUGAGUACUAUAUAAUAGUUAAAACUUUCAACAACGGAUCUCUUGGUUCUGGCAUCGAUGAAGAACGCAGCGAAAUGCGAUAAGUAAUGUGAAUUGCAGAAUUCAGUGAAUCAUCGAAUCUUUGAACGCACAUUGCGCCCGCUGGUAUUCCGGCGGGCAUGCCUGUUCGAGCGUCAUUUAAACCAAUCCAGCUUGCUGGGUAUUGGGCUUUCGCCUCUGGGCGGGCCUCAAACGUAGUGGCGGUGCCAUCCAGCUCUUAGCGUAGUAAAUAUCCUCGCUAUAGAGUCCUGGGUGGUUGCUUGCCAAACCCCUAAAUUUUAUCAGGUUGACCUCGGAUCAGGUAGGGA
rnacentral:rRNA from 1 species